rnacentral:miRNA from 1 species
AGUAGGAGAAGGGCUGUGGAU